rnacentral:rRNA from 1 species
CCUACGGGGGGCUGCAGUGGGGAAUAUUGGACAAUGGGGGGAACCCUGAUCCAGCCAUGCCGCGUGUGUGAAGAAGGCCCUCGGGUUGUAAAGCACUUUCAGUGAGGAAGAACGCCUGGUGGUUAAUACCCAUCAGGAAAGACAUCACUAACAGAAGAAGCACCGGCUAACUCCGUGCCAGCAGCCGCGGUAAUACGGAGGGUGCGAGCGUUAAUCGGAAUUACUGGGCGUAAAGCGCGCGUAGGUGGCUUGAUAAGCCGGUUGUGAAAGCCCCGGGCUCAACCUGGGAACGGCAUCCGGAACUGUCAAGCUAGAGUGCAGGAGAGGAAGGUAGAAUUCCCGGUGUAGCGGUGAAAUGCGUAGAGAUCGGGAGGAAUACCAGUGGCGAAGGCGGCCUUCUGGACUGACACUGACACUGAGGUGCGAAAGCGUGGGUAGCAAACAGGAUUAGAUACCCUGGUAGUC